rnacentral:rRNA from 1 species
UACGGAGGAGGCAAGCGUUAUCCGGAAUUAUUGGGCGUACAGCGUCCGCAGGUGGCGAUUCAAGUCUGCGGUCAAAGACUGGGGCUUAACCCUGGAAAGGCCGUGGAAACUGAAUAGCUAGAGUGCAGUAGGGGUAGAGGGAAUUCCCGGUGUAGCGGUGAAAUGCGUAGAGCUCGGGAAGAACAUCGGUGGCGAAAGCGCUCUGCUGGACUGCAACUGACACUCAGGGACGAAAGCUAGGGGAGCGAAUGGG